rnacentral:rRNA from 1 species
AUUUUUGCCGAAUUCCUUUUUAAUAAUUUAUUAUUUUAAAAUAAAAUUAUUUUAUAUAAAUAUACUAAUUUUAUCAUUAUUUCUAAUUUUAUUUUAAUUAAAAAUUAUUUCUUUAUAAAAAUUUAAAAUAAAUUUUAAAUUUUAAAAUAAUUAAAAUUAUUUAUAAAAAAUUAUAAUUUAUAAAAAAUAUAAAUUUUAAAAAUCUUAAUAUAAAAUUAAAUAUAUUUAUAAAAAUUUAAUUUAAAGCUUAUCCCUUAAAAUAUUAAAUUAAAUUUAUUUUUUAUUAAAUAUUUAAUAAAAAAUAAAUUUAAUUAAAAAUUAAAUUUUUUUCUAAAGAAACUAGAUAUAUUUAAAAACGAUUAACAUUUCAUUUCAAAUUAACUAUUAAAAAUAAUUAUUCAACAUUAACUUUUAUAAUUAAUUAUCUCUUUUAAAUUCGAGAUACUUUUAUACAAAAGUAAUUAUUUAAUAAACUCUGAUACACAAGAUACAAUAAAUUAAAUUUACUUUUAAUUUAAUUUUUUUUUCAAAAUUUUUCAAAAUUCUUUCACAAUACUAAUUUACUAUAAACCUUUUAAUUUUUUUCUUAAAAAAUACUUUAACCCCCAUUAUCAUAUUUUAUAACUUUUUUUUUUAUUCCCCUCUAAUUAAUUUUACCCCC